rnacentral:rRNA from 1 species
GAGUGAAGAGGGAAGAGCUCAUCAUUGGAAUCUGGCAGUGUUUCACUGUCCGAGUUGUAGAUGAGGAGUAGUCCGUCUGGACUGCAUGGCGUCCAAGUACAAUAGGCCGUCAGUGGGACAUCAUAGAGGGUGACAAUCCCGUCCUUGACGCCAAUGUGCAAGUCUAUUACGAUGGCUAUCUCAGAGAGUCGAGCAGUUUGGGAUUUGCUGCUUAAACAUGGGAGGUAGAUUCCUUCUAAAGCUAAAUACAGGCGAGAGACCGAUAGAGAACAAGUACCGCAAGGGAAAGAUGAAAUAGCACUCUGUGAAGGGAGUCAAAAGGCGUGAAAUUGUUGCGAGAGAAGCGAUUCAAGUCAGCGUAGCUAGGCCCAUCAAGCGUCUUCGCUUUGGACUAGCUUUGCCAGCGGUCUUGUCCCUUAAAGAGACUUGACUUGUAAUAUGUCCAGCCUGGCGUGCACAGGCAGCCCCUUCUGGGGGCCAGUGACAUGGCUGGUGGAAUGGCUUGCAAUCGACCCGUCUUGAAACACGGACCAAGGAGUCUAACAUGUAUGCGAGUAUAAGGGUGGCAAACCCGUAUGCGCAAUGAAAGUGAUUUUCGGUGAUUGAGAAUGGCCUGAUGACCAGACAAGCAAUAUAUGUCCCUCGUACGGCCAUUGCCCAAGUUCCGUGGUAGAUCCCACGAACAUGGAGUUGGAGCAUACAUG